GACGUAGGGCGCGAGCGUUGUCCGGAUUUAUUGGGCGUAAAGAGCUCGUAGGCGGCUUGUUGCGUCGACUGUGAAAACCUGCGGCUCAACCGUGUGGUCUGCAGUCGAUACGGGCAGGCUGGAGUUCGGUAGGGGAGACUGGAAUUCCUGGUGUAGCGGUGAAAUGCGCAGAUAUCAGGAGGAACACCGGUGGCGAAGGCGGGUCUCUGGGCCGAUACUGACGCUGAGGAACGAAAGCGUGGGGAGCGAACAGG
rnacentral:rRNA from 1 species